rnacentral:rRNA from 1 species
UACGUAGGCAGCAAGCGUUGUUCGGAAUUACUGGGCGUAAAGAGUGUGUAGGCGGUGCUCUAAGUUCGGUGUGAAAUCUCCUGGCUCAACUGGGAGGGUGCGCCGAAAACUGGAAUGCUCGAGGCGUGGGAGAGGAAAGCGGAAUUCCUGGUGUAGCGGUGAAAUGCGUAGAUAUCAGGAGGAACACCUGUGGUGUAGACGGCUUUUCUGGACCAUUGCUGACGUGAGACACGAAAGCCGUGGGUAGCAAACAGG